AAACUGGAACACCAUGUAGACGU
rnacentral:miRNA from 1 species